UUUUUUACCUCCAUAAUGUUUUAUGUUUACUGUUGCUUGUUUUGAUGAGACUAUACUAAAGCUACAUGUUCUGUCACUGAAGAGGAAUGUCACUGAUCCACUUUCCUCAGUAUAUCACUUGACUUGGUACUGAAUCCUCUGAUAGUUCCAACUUGCCAAUUGCUUUUUUGACAUCUGCUUUUAUCUGUCGGCGUCUCCUGGUGGCGGCACUGGGCAUUCUGGCCCUCCGGGCACAAUACAAAAAGAAGCAGGAGACAGCGGCAGCCAUAAAGUGCUAAUCAUAGGCACAAAGAUAUCAAGAUGAUGAGAAGCUCAAGGAAGACUCACCUGUUUAGGCUGAUUU